AGCUCAUCCAGAGGGGUAGAGGGAUCGGCCCUGCGACACCCCGGCAACCGACACCGACAGCAGCGGACUUCCGCGAGGCCAUCGGCGAUCACGGUGCCAAAUCCGGCCCGCACGAGCGGGAAAGAUGAGGA
rnacentral:ncRNA from 2 species